rnacentral:rRNA from 1 species
GAUGAACGCUGGCGGCGUGCCUAAUACAUGCAAGUCGAGCGAACAGACGAGGAGCUUGCUCCUCUGACGUUAGCGGCGGACGGGUGAGUAACACGUGGAUAACCUACCUAUAAGACUGGGAUAACUUCGGGAAACCGGAGCUAAUACCGGAUAAUAUAUUGAACCGCAUGGUUCAAUAGUGAAAGACGGUUUUGCUGUCACUUAUAGAUGGAUCCGCGCCGCAUUAGCUAGUUGGUAAGGUAACAGCUUACCAAGGCGACGAUGCGUAGCCGACCUGAGAGGGUGAUCGGCCACACUGGAACUGAGACACGGUCCAGACUCCUACGGGAGGCAGCAGUAGGGAAUCUUCCGCAAUGGGCGAAAACCUGACGGAACAACGCCGCGUGAGUGAUGAAGGUCUUCGGAUCGUAAAACUCUGUUAUUAGGGAAGAACAAAUGUGUAAGUAACUAUGCACGUCUUGACGGUACCUAAUCAGAAAGCCACGGCUAACUACGUG